ACUCAGAGAAGGAUGAUUUUAGGACAGUGUAUUUUAUUACUACUCAUUUCAUAUUCUUAUGGACAGUCCCUGACCUCCUCAGCUUCUGUGGUGAAGAGACCUGGAGAGUCGGUCACUCUGUCCUGUACUGUCUCUGGAUUCUCAAUGAGCUACUACAUGAACUGGAUCCGUCAGAAACCAGGACAAGGACUGGAGUGGAUCGGGCGUAUUGAAGGUGGCACUAGCACUAGAUUCACUCAGUCACUGCAGGGCCAGUUCUCCAUCACUAAAGACACCAGUAAAAACAUGCUGUACCUAGAAGUGAAGAGUCUGAAAGCUGAAGACACGGCAGUUUAUUACUGUGCACGAGCUUUGGAUCUCCUCUCUGUAGGCCAGUUCCUCAAUGUUGCUGAUUUGCCCAAUAACUGUGGUAUCAUCUGCAUAUUUGAUGAACAUGUUGGAGUUAUGCCAUGGAACACAGUCAUGGGUAAACAGGGAGUAGAGCAGUGGGCUCAGCAUGCAGCCUUGUGGGAUGCCGGUGUUCAGGAUGAGGGUUGA